ACCUUCAUGGUGUAAUGGUAGCACACUCUGCAUAUUCAAGAGGUUCAGGGUUCAAGUCCCGGUGAGGGCA
rnacentral:tRNA from 1 species